UCCGUCCACCUUCCGGAAGUCAGGGCCGCGGCGCUUCUGGUCCCGGAGACUUGGGGCUCCCGGGCUUCUGAGCGGCUCGGGUUCCGCGCUGCCGGCAGGGCUUGGGGGCGCCUUAGAGCCGAACCCCGUUUUUUCAGGAAAGGGCGCUGCGACCACCCCCGUCCCGGGCCUCAGCCCCUCUGCUGCAGACCCUCGGGAUCGUCGCUGGUAGGAGCUCUGUCCCCCGUGUCUGUGUCCAGGACCCCCGAAGCGCCGCGCCUAGGAACCCCCUAGCGCUGGGAGCCCGGCCCUGCUCGACCACGGGCUUUGGGCUGGAGGCGUCAUCGUCGCCACAGCGAACGCUUAUUUGGCACCGAGUGUCCGCCAGGCAUCGCUCUAAGCGCUUUAUACCCAUAACUCACUUCAUCUCAGCCACCCGGUUCCGUAGAAGCGUUUCAUCCGCGUUUUACAGACGUGUGCAGGAAAGAUUCUGAAGCUUGGCGGAGAGGGGUGUGUGAGUGGACACCAGUGAAGUAACGGUUUUUGUGUUACGAUGAUUUCUGUUUUCCUCUGCUGCCCUGUAAUGGCAGGAACUCGGAUAGUCUGGUCUUCAGACCAGGAGGACUCCCAGGAGAGAACGGAGAGCCAGUGUGCUGUGUGUCACGGUCCCUGGAUGAACGUUUGUGGAACUGGAUUGAAUUAAACAAGACGUGCAAAGCAAGUGGUUCACGAGAUUCGAUUGCUGUAGGGACCCCGUGGGUGUGGAAUCAGACAGUAUUGGUCCUUUCAUGACUGGCUUAUUUCACAAAACCCGAUGCCGUCGAGGUCCAUCCAUGCUGAGAUAUUUACGGAGCAUCCCCAGCUGCUGGAUGCUGGGACCCACCAGUGGGCAAGAGGGCCGUGCCCACCCCUUCCUGGAAGAGACACUCACUCAGUAAAUGCAGAGAUUCAGUGUUGGGGUAACCCCAGCACACAGCCCUGAGGGAGGAAGCCCAGUGAUUUGAUCGGAUUUGCUUUUCUCUUCUGCCUCGGAUUCUGUCCAACCCCUGGAAGGACCUCUGAGGUGUCCCGUGGCUGGUUCUAGGCCCCAUUCAAGCCUCCUCCUCCAGGAAGCCUUCCCAGUCCUGGGCAUCUGUAGCCAGCUCGGUGUUUCUCACCUGGGGCCUGGGACGUCUCCCAUUCUGAACUGCCGUGUUUUGGGUUUACUGUUCUCUGGCUUUUGGUCCCAGCCGGACGGUGGCCUCUUGUGUUCAGGGACAAGGCAAGGAGCAUCCAUGCACCCCCACAGUACCCAGGCUGGGUCUGUGCCCGCCAGGCCCCCGGCAAAGCUUGGAUGAUCCGGGCUGGGCUGUUCUCCUGCUGCUCUCCUGCUGCUGGCCUCGCUGUAUCAGCUGAUGGCCAUCGCGCCUCCUGCACCCGUCAUCCCGCCCUGCACGCCCCCGCCACGUGGAUGAGCUCCCUGGGGAGUUAAUGGCUAAUGGAGUCUCCGCUCUCUCUUGUCAAAUGCAGCCAUCAUCCGCUGGUGCUUUAAGGGACUCUCUCCCGUCCCCACCCUAUUCUCAGGUGGCUCCUACCGACACCACCUAAUGGUGAACCCCAACACGAGGACACAGGCAGUGCCCUCUCAGGACCACUGUGGGUGCCACCAGGCACGACUUCCUAAACACCCACAGAGCAAAAACCUGGAAAUUCAGCCGAGGCACUGGGACCCCAACCUCUCCCAGAGUGGCCCCAGCUCCACGGCGUCUGCAUGGCUCUGGCCGUGAGCAGAGCAGCCCCGACCUCCGUCCUGACCCAGGGCGCCGGAGCGCCACUGCGGAUCUCACCACCACACAAGCCAGACCUGCUAGGAAGCCCUUCCCGGCCACCAGCUCUCGGGCGAUGCACACAACAGGGCCUUUUGAAUUCCCUGAGGUUAAGGUUCCCCUUGAGUCUCCUGGGCUACAAGCAAAUCCCCCGAGGGGAGAAGUCCAGGCUGACACAGCCUCCUGCACCCCUGCCUUGGGAGGCCACACCUCGUUUGCCUCUAGAACCGACGACUGGGGAGCACUGUUUGCAGAGUUCUCUCUCUCUGGAACGGUGAAGGAAUCUGAAGCCCAGAGAGGGAAAACAAUGCCUCCUGGGUCACACAGCCCAUCAGGGGCAGGGCAGGGACGAACGGCGAGAAAAGGACCAGCGCGAGAGGAGAUCCCCAGCAGUGAUUCCUCAGCCAAGCCCAGCGUCUACCCACAUCCACACCUCACAGCCACCUGAUGGGGAAGGCACCAUUGCCCCUUUUCAAAGGUGAGAAAACAGAGGCUCAGAGAGGUUCAGCAACUUCUCCCACAGCUACUUCGUUGUAGAACUGCAGUUCCAGGUGUCCCCGAGCUCUCCCUUCCCGAGCCAUCUGCUCCUGCCCUCCUAUCCGAGCCCUGGCCCUCCCAGUCAAAGCCGGGUAGUGGCUGUUCAGAAGCCUUGGGGCUAGUCAAUCCCAGCUGUCUCGGACCAGGGCCCCCCCCAGGAGGAGACCCUGAAGGAUGCAGUUGAGAAUAUGUGCUUUCUUUGGUAGGUGAUCUCAGGAAUUGCAGGGGAAAGAGGGGGAGCGUGUUAGUGUAGGCUCUCCGGAGAAGCAGAACCAACGCACAGAGGAGAUUUAGGAUGAGGAAUCUGGUUUAUGUGACUCUGGGGGCUGAGAAGGCCCACCAUCUGUGUUGCAAGCUGGAAACCCAGGGAAGCCUGAGGUGUGAUUCAAACUCAGCUCAGGUCUGGAGGCCUGAGAACCAGGGCAGCCGAUGGUGGACAUCCAGUCCAGGGGCAAGAGAUGACGAGAUGUCCCGGCUCCAGUGGCGAGGCAGGAAAUGAGGGGUGAACUCCUCCUCCCUCUGCUGUCUGUUCUAUUCAAGUUCUUGAGGGAUUGGAUUAUGCCCAGCCACUUGGGGAGGGCAGUCCACCUUCCUGAGUCCACAAUUCAAAUGCUGAUCUAAUCCAGAAACACUCUCACAGACACAGUGUGUAGUCUGGGCACCCCACAGUGCACUUAAGUGGACACAUAAAAUUAACCAUCCCAGGGAGUGAGAUGGGUAAGGGAAGAUGGGCCACAGUGGGUGUGUCUCCAUGCCUACCCCCACUGUGGGCAGCUGCUGGAGCACACGCCUCAAAGUCUUCCCUGAGGGAGAGGGAGCUGAGGUGUUUAUAUCCCAGCUCUGUCAGGCAUUGGCUGAAUGUCCACACUCCUGGAUCACCGCCUCUCAUCCUCAUGAUGUCCCAUGGUCCUCAUUUCACAAGUGAGCUCUGGGUACAUGGGGAGCAUCAGUCACACCCUGGGUCAGUACCUCAGCUGUCUCUCACAUGACAUCCUCAUUAUCCACACUGCAAAGCCAACCAUCCCUAUGAUGGGUUCAUUGUGGAUCAUGACUUAGUGGGUCAAGAGUUUGGAAGUGGCUCAGCUGGGCGGUUCUUCUGCUCCAUGUGGCUGCCAGAUGGUACCCUGCUGGUGGGCAGUCUGGUCUAGAGGGUCCAUGAUGGCUUUACUCACAUGCCUGGCAUCUUGACAGGGACAGCUGGAAGGCAAGGUUCAGCUGGGACUGUCCACAGAGCUCCUCCCUGUGGCCUUUCCAGCAUGGUGGUCUCAGGGUAGCUGGACUUCCUGCAUGACAGCUCAGGGCUCCCAGAGCUACUGUCCCAAGAGAUAGAAGGUGGAAACUGCCAGUCUCUUAGGCUAGGACCAGAAACCAGCACCCCUGCACCCACAGCCUUUUGGUAGUGAUGAAAUAAACAUAAGAUUUAUCAUUUUAAUCAUUCGUAAGUGGGAUUAAAUACAUUUACAAUAUUGUGUAACCAUCGGCACUGUCUAUAUCUAAAACUUUUUCAUCAUCUGCAAUAAAAACUCUGUAUGCAUUAA
rnacentral:lncRNA from 1 species